AUGGCAGAGGAGGACCCAGGAUGGUUGCCGCUCCAGCCCGGCCCCCAAGAGGCAGGCCCCAGGUGCUGGCCCCACGGGUUUUGGUCUGAGUCUCAGUCACGGUGGUAUAUCUUUGGCAGUGGGACCCAGCUCUCAGUCACAGGUCAGCCUGUGGUCGCCCCCUUGGUCACUCUGUUUCCGCCCUCCUCAGAGGAGCUCAAGGCCAACAAGGCCACCCUGGUGUGUCUGAUCAGUGACUUCUACCCAGGCACAGUGACGGUGGCCUGGAAGGCAGAUGGAGCCACCAUCACCCAAGGCAUGGAUUUCACCCAGCCCUCUAAACAGAGCAACAACAAGUACAUGGCCAGCAGCUUCCUCAGCCUUUCACGUGGACAGUGGACAUCACAUAGCCACUUCACUUGCCAGGUCACCCAUGAGGGGAAAACCAUGGAGAAGAGCGUGGCCCCUGCACACUGUCCUUAG